rnacentral:rRNA from 1 species
UACGUAGGGACCAAGCGUUGUUCGGAUUUACUGGGCGUAAAGGGCGCGUAGGCGGCAAUUCAAGUCAUCUGUGAAAUCUCCGGGCUUAACCCGGAACGGUCAGGUGAUACUGUUUUGCUAGAGUGCGGAAGGGGCAAUCGGAAUUCUCGGUGUAGCGGUGAAAUGCGUAGAUAUCGAGAGGAACACCAGAGGUGAAGACGGGUUGCUGGGCCGACACUGACGCUGAGGCACGAAAGCCAGGGGAGCAAACGGG